rnacentral:misc_RNA from 1 species
GAAAUGCGAUAAGUAAUGCGAAUUGCAGAAUUUCCGUGAGUCAUCGAAUCUUUGAACGCACAUUGCGCCCACUGGUAUUCCGGUGGGCAUGCCUGUUCGAGCGUCAUUAUCCUCCCUCAAACCUCGGGUUUGGUGUUGGACCUACGUUUCUGCGAAGGAACCGGUCCCAAAGACAAUGACGGCGUCCGUGGGACCCUCGGUGCAACGAGCUUUUGCAAGCACGCGCCGAGUUUCAAGGUCCCUCGGGCCCGGUCUCCCUUUUUUACUUUACAAGGUUGACCUCGGAUCAGGUAGGAAUACCCGCUGAACUUAA